rnacentral:misc_RNA from 1 species
GGAAACGUAUCCUCUGGGAG